AAAGAAAAGGUGUGUCAUGGCUUUGGCAUCAAAGGACACAUAAAAAAGAAUUGCCCGGCAACGAAUAAGAAGAAUCAACCGGCGAUUUCUAAACGUCCGUUGGCACCCUCUACUACACGACUUCCCCCACUGUCACGCCUCGCCCCGAAACCACUACCAAUUUGGCACGAUUUGGGCGGGCCGGGCGGACUACCGAACAGACAGCACCUCCCAUGUCCACCCAAGGCUCAACAACAGGAAUGUGUACAAGAAUUUACCCAGAAAAUUUAAAUUCUAAACAUACACAUUCAACGGGGAACAAACAGUGCCAACAACUAAGAGCAAGUGAUCCACAUGAUAUACAAGUGAGAUAAAGAAAGUAUUUUAUUGACUAUUACAAUAGUUUUGCAUCUUUUUACAUGCACAUCUUUUCCUCAAAAUGAAUACAUUUGUUCAUUCAAAAUACAUAGCUCUCCAACCUCACCGACAUAAGUCUCUCUCAAAAUACAAAGGUGUACUAAUGCAAAAUGGAAAGCUACUAUACUACCACGGUCUCACUGGUCGGGCGCGAUGCCCUUGCCGCGGUCCUCGCUUGGUAAACCUGUACCUACCACUGAAAAUAGAGUGGGGUGAGAACUAUCUUGCAUAGUUCCCAGUGGGCUCGGCCGCCAACUCUGCCGGUCUCCCCACUAGGUCCAAGUGGGCACAAGUAACAACAAGUAGAUAGAUAGAUAGAUAUCUCAAAGCUGUAAAUGACAUAAUAAGAAAUCUAUGCUACUAUACCCAUAAUCAUGUGUAAUGAAUGCAUGCAUCAUAUAGUAAAGGUUUACUACCAUGCUAACAAGUUCGAUCCAUGUUCGAAUAAUAAUGUUCAAUGACAAUACUUGUUUUUCAUUUAUCCAAUCUAUGGCGAGACCCUUGGGUUCGCCUACAACUCACAUUCCCAUCCCGUAUUGGGCAAAGGAGCUCCAUGUGCCCCCAAUCCGGGACUGUCUGCGGACCUCCAUGUGGUCCCUAUCGCCCGACACUCCGGAGUACUUGACGACAAUCCUCUCCAUGUGAGGAUAUGGAUAGCUAUACCACCCCAAAUAACAGACCGUGAGCUAGAUCUAUCCUCUCCAAGUGAGGAUACCCUACGAACUAGGGCCAACAUCUCGAACGAAGUCAUCUACAUCCUCUCCAUGUGAGGAUACUUAGCUUUACUAAAUUCUUUGUCCACAAGGCAUUUUCUAAAGGAUUCACCUAUCCCUAGGUUCUCAAACCUCUAGUGUCAAGUACACUACAUUAAUGCCACUUGUUUGUUCUUUAGACAUUUAGAUGCCACUCUUUAAGUCACUAGAUAACCAUCAAUUUCACAUCUUUUCUUUAGCACUAUAGGAUCUAAUGUUCCGACCCAAUCCUCACCUAUCCUAUUCACCUAGCAUUCCAUGCAUACUAGGUUACCAUUUAGAAAGCAUAAGGAGAAGGUUAAACAUGCAAUCCUACAAUGCAACAUGCAAGAGAUGAAAUUAUAUGUUAUUCUAAGGCAUAGAAAAAAGUCCGGUAGCUUCGGGAUGACACCCCCCACCUUUCGUAGUCGAUAAUCGUUGUAGAGGUCCUAGAAGUGUUCCUCGGCACUUCAAACCACGUGAUCCCCGCUCUUUAGGAGAAACGAAGCUAGGUCGGCCCUACUUUGCAGAUAGCUCUACACCCGCUCGACGAAUCGUAAAUCCGACUCCGCCAACGCGUUUGGACACCUAGCAAUUAAGUUUACAAGGCCUCAAAUGAGAUCAAUCUCAUCUAUUUCCAAAAAUUCCAUUUUGGGUGCCCUAGGGUUCACAUCUUGCCAUUUGCACUAUAAAACCCUAGUUUCUAGCUCAAAGCCAGCAUUAAUGGUGCAAGAGGUCCAUUUGACCUCCUCUCCAAAGGCUAAAACCCAAAAACCCUAAGUUCUACAAGCUAGGGUUUGUAGCUUACCUCUUGAGCUACACCAAUGGAGAGGAGAGGAAGAGAGGAAGAUGCUCCAAGCCUUCUCUAGCUUGAUCUCCUCCUUCUUCUUCUUCUUCUCCUCAUCUUUCUUCUCUUCCUUCUUCUCCUUCUCUUUUGUUCUUUCUUUUCUAGAGAGAGAGAGGGAGCAAGAGAGUGAGAGAGAGAGAGAGAGAAUGAGAGGCUUAGGGAGAGAGUGGGGGCCUACAUACCCCUCUAAUGUAACAAAAUCCAAAUAAACCCCUCAACUUUCAUCUCUGUGCACAGCCCUCACUGGGCAUUCUGCGCCCAGAGGGACCGUUCCCUUGUCGGGGAGACCGGUCCCCGAGAGCCCUCCCCGCGGCCUGGGGACCUUUCGCGUAUGGGAACCGGUUCCCACCCGAGAGACUGGUCCCUGGGAGAUCGGUCCUUCUUGAGAGACCGGUUCCCGAGAGCCGAAUUUCUAGGACUUAGCCAUUUUUGCCCUUCUCUCGUUGGUGUCACAUACGGGGACCGGUCCCCUCAGCCGGGGGACCGGUUGCAUCAACCUCCCCCGCAACCAUCAGCUACGGGGACCGGUCCUCGUUUCCAGGGACCGGUCCCCGAUAGCAAAAUUUGCUAAGUCCAGAUUUUUUCAUAUCUGCUCUCGCGGACACGUUUCUAAUGCACUUUUUGUAUUUUGGACAACUUUAGCUUUCCCAAAGGAUACUCACUCGACAAGUAGUCGAUCUUGCACGAAGUACAACUCUCGGAUUUCGAGAAUUCACUUCCUUACAUCCUCCCCUCCUUAAAAGGAGUUUCGUCCUUGAAAUUAACUCAAUUAUUUACUUUAACUUAAAUUUUUACCUCGCUCCUCGAACAGAUGAGGGUGGUGCUUUCUCAUUAGAUCCUCGAGUUCCCAGGUGGCUUCGCGAUCAUUAUGAUUGCUCCACUGAACCUUCACGUAGGGAAUUUCUCGAUUCCUCAGCCUUCGCACUUCUUGGGCGAUAAUCAUUACCGAAAACUCUUCAUAGCUCAAGUCUUCUUGAAGCUUCGGUGGCUCAUAUAGCAUCGCGUGCUCGGGGUCGUGAAUAUACUUGCGGAGAUUGGAGACAUAGAACACAUUGUGUACAUCCGCGAGCUUCGGCGGCAAAUCGAGUUGAUAAGCCACCGUGCCAACUCGCUCCAAUAUUUCAUAGGGUCCAAUGUAUCAGGGACUCAACUUUUCCCGCACUCCAAACCGCUUUACACCCCGCAUCGGUGAAACCUUCAAGAAAACGCGGUCGCCCACCGCAAACUCUAUAUCUCGUCGGCGCCUAUCUGCAUAGCUUUGCUGUCUCGACUGCGCCGUGAGCAAUCUCUUGCGAGCAAGGCGGACUUUCUCCUUCGCUUCUCGCAGAACAUCGGGGCCGAACUCUGCACGCUCACCCACAUCACUCCAGUGUAUAGGAGACCGACACAUCUGCCCAUAAAGAGCCUCGAACGGUGCCAUCUUCAUACUAGCAUGAUAACUAUUGUUGUAGGCGAACUCGGCCAUAGGUAGGUGAUCACACCAACUUUUCUUAUAGUCGAUGACACAUGCUCGCAACAUAUCCUCCAGAGUUUGAAUGGUUCUCUCUGUUUGCCCAUCGGUCAGAGGAUGAAAUGCGGUGCUAAAAUCGAGCCGUGUGCCAAGGGCUUCCUGCAGGCUCUUCCAGAAGUGUGAAGUGAACCGGGGGUCACGAUUCGACAUGAUCGAUUUCGGCACACCAUGCAGUCUCACUAUCUCGUCGAGGUAUACCUGCGCUAACUUGUCACCCGACCAUGUGGUGUGGAUCGGCAAGAAGUGAGCCGACUUCGUCAAUCGGUCCACAAUUACCCAAAUUGCAUCGUGGCCGCCUAUUGAGCGAGGCAAGCCGACCACGAAGUCCAUCGAUAUAUCCUCCCAUUUCCAAACGGGGAUUGGUAGGCUUUGAAGCUUUCCCGCUAGAAAUCGACGCUCUGCUUUCACUUGUUGUCAUGUUAAGCAUUUCGCCACAAAGCGUCCAAUAUCACCCUUCAUUUUCGGCUACUAAUAGUGCAUUUUUAGUCCUUGAUACAUCUUGGUGCCGCCCGGGUGAUCAGCAUACGGAGAUCGAUGUGCUUCUUGCAAAAUUAGAUUUUGGAUCUCCUCAUUAUUUGGUACACACCGCUGGUUUCGAAACCGAAGUGUAUCAUCGGCGUCUAUACUGAAAUCGCCGCCUCUACCUUCCUCGAUGUUUUUCCUCACCUUUUGGAGUUCUGGGUCUGCGGGUUGUAGAUCUUUGAUCCUCUCCAACAAGGUCGGUGGGACAACGAGCGCCAUCAACUGGACCGGAACCUCGGGAGCAACCACCUCAAGGUUCAUCCGCUCUAUGUCUAACCACAAGGGUGAUUGAUUUGUAACCCACAUCGAGAGGUUCUCCGCCAACUUUCUGCUCAAUGCAUCAGCGACCACAUUGGCUUUCCCGGGGUGGUAAAGGAUAUCAACAUCAUAAUCCUUAAGCAAUUCCAACCACCGCCGCUGUCGCAUAUUAAGCUCUUUCUGUGUGAACAGAUAUUUCAAACUCCUGUGGUCGGUGUAAAUCUCACAAUGGGCACUGUACAAGUAGUGCCGCCACAGCUUCAAGGCGAAGAUUACCGCCGCUAGCUUCAAAUCGUGGAUGGGGUAGUUCUUCUCAUAGCUCUUCAGCUGACGGGAAGCAUAAGCAAUCACCUUUCCGUUUUACAUCAAAACACACCCCAAUCUUAGAUAGGAAGCGUCGCUGUAGACUACGAAGUCUUCGCCUUGCACCGGUAGAGCGAGCACCGGAGUCGAAGUUAAUCUUUGCUUCAACUCUUUGAAACUCCGGUCGCACUUCUCGCUCCAAACAAACUUGGUGCCUUUCUGAGUCAGGCGGGUAAGUAGAAUCACUAUCUUGGAAAAGCCUUCCACAAACCGCCUAUAAUAGCCCGCCAAGCCAACGAAGGUUCGAACCUCCGUGACAUUCGUAGCGUCGGGCGCGACCAAUCCUUGAUUGCCUCAAUUUUCCUUGUGUCUACUGAAACUCCACCCGCGGAAAUCACAUGCCCUAGAAAUGCGACUUCUCGGAGCCAGAAGUCACACUUCUUUAACUUAGCAUAUAGCUUCUCCUCCCGAAGGGUUUGAAGUACUAUCCUCAAAUGCUCAGCAUGUUCCUCGUCACUACGAGAAUAGACCAAUAUGUCAUCUAUGAAGACCACGACGAAUAGAUCCAAAAACUUUCUGAAGAUACGGUUCAUCAAGUCCAUAAAUGCCGCUGGAGCGUUUGUGAGUCCAAAUGGCGUGACCAUGAAUUCAUAGUGCCCGUACCGCGUACGAAACGCAAUUUUCUGCACAUUCUCCGGCUUAAUUUUCAACUGGUGAUAGCCAGACUGCAAAUCUAUCUUCGAGUACACACACGACCCCUGCAACUGAUCGAACAGGUCAUCGAUUCGGGGUAGUGGGUACUUGUUCUUGAUCGUGACUCUGUUCAACUCUCGAUAAUCCAUGCAGAGUCGAAACGAUCCAUCCUUCUUCCGUACAAACAACACCGGGGCUCCCUACGGUGACAUACUUGGCCGGAUAAAUUUCUUGUCUAGGAGGUCUUACAAUUGACUCCUCAAUUCUUUCAGUUCCGCUAGCGCCAUUCGGUACGGAGCCUUCGAGAUCAGUGCGGUACCGGGAACCAAGUCUAUGACGAACUCGAUCUCCCGAUCAGGUGGUAUCCCUGGCAACUACGCGGGAAACACAUCCGGGAACUCCCGCACCACCGAUAACUCCUCCAACAUUGGAGCUACUCGUCCCACUUCCAUAACAGUUGCCAAGAAUGCUAUGCAACCGCUGUUAACCAGUUUUCUUGCUCUUGUCGCCGACACCGUCGCGACGAAGCACGAGCUCUGACAAGCCCGAUAUGUGAACUCCUUUUGUCCUAGCUCACGAAAGGUAAUUACUCUGCUCUUGCAGUCGAUCGUUGCGUGAUAUUUCGAGAGCCAGUCCAUGCCCAAAAUGAUGUCAUAAGCCUCAAGCUUCUUGAGUUCUAGCGUCCGAAUAGGCAUUAUCCAGUCGCCUACUUGUACCGGACACGAUGCACACUCCGAGUAGGUAUUAAAAGUCAACCUAGGGCCCUCAACUCGCCACUUGUCACUCUCCUCUAUGAGAAUGUCAUGCAUGCGUGCGAAUAAUCUACUAAUGAAUGAAUGCAUGGCUCCUGUAUCAAAUAAAGCCCUGGAGCGAACUCCGUUAAUUAAAACCAUACCUGCCACAAGGCGAUGCUCCUCAGCCUUCACAGGCUCUUCAGCUUAGACCUGAGCGGCGAAUACCUGACCGCUCGGAGCUGAUCGCGUCACCUCGGGUUGACGCGGCAUCAUCGCGCGUCCCGUCGACGCUGCCGUCGGUGGAACUCCUCCAUACUGAGCCGGGAUCGCCGACGCCGAUGUAAUCGAUGGGGCAGGUGAGGCUCCUCCUCCCGGGCAGUCCCGAAUGAAAUGCCCCGGUUGCCCACACUUGUAGCACUUGCCUCGGCUCUGCUCACAUCGCGAGACUGGGUGGUCUCCGCCGCAUAUGAUGCAUCGUCGCGCUCCACCGCCCUUUGGCUGAGUCCGCGGAUACUUCGGGGGCUUCUUGGAACGUGUUUGUCCCCCCGAACUACCACCGCCUUGACGUUUCUUUCCCUUGUCCUUGGACUCGGCUAGCAUCUCACGCUUCUCCCGAACAUGGGCGUCUCCGUGCUUCGCCCAAAGUGCUCGGUCGAAGACCUCCACAAAGGUCGUGAGCUUGAGUAUCUGCACGGCCUUAUAAAUCCUCGGCCGAAGUCCUCGCAAGAACCAAUCGGCCCGGUCCCGGUCGUCCUUCACUACAUCCGGAACACAAUCAAUGAUGUGGGAGAACUCUUGUUCAUAUUCUGCCACUGAGCGGUCCCCUUGCUCCAACUUGCAGAACUUCUCAUUGAGCUUCCGCUUCAGCGUGCCGGGGAAGUAGUUGGCGAACAUCUCCCGCUUGAAUUCCUUCCACAAUAUCGGCAGGAGAUCGGAAAACCGAUCUCGCUUCAUGCGCUUCCACCAUAUCUUUGCCGCUUUCUCCAAACAGUGGGUGGCAAGGUACACCUUAUCCUUCUCCAAGGUACGCAAGUCCUUAAAGAGAGUCUCCAUCGAGUCAACCCAUGACUCGACCAUCGCCGGCUCCACCUUCUCGCCCUCAAAGAUAGGCUGAUGGAACUUGUUGAACUUAAUAAGAGCCGCCAAUGCGCGCUCUCCUUCCACAUCUUCAGCCGUCACAUCGGGUGUAGCCGAUCUCGACGUCGCCUGUGGUACGAUUGCUGGCGGUGGGCGUGCCGUCACCGGAACCGCCUCUAUACCCUUACCCUCUACCGCUCCGGGUACACGAGUUGAGGGUGCAGGCGGACCACCGCCCUCGUUCACCGUCGCAGCCGCCGCCGCAACCUGCCGCUCCAAAAGAUCCUGGAGCAGUUGAAUCGGGUCUCCUAGCGCCGCACGACAUUGGUCAACGCGGUCACUUGUGCCCGCAACUGAUCCAUGUCGCUCGGUUCAGCCUGCUCGGGCACCUCGGGAAGCGGUGCCGGAGUAGACUCAUGCUCGGGCGUCCUCUUGGUGCCAUUGGCUCCUGAAACGCAAGUACUUGGUUAAUUAUCUUAACCUAUGCGCCUCGUCGCAAUUACGACAAAUAACGACUCAACAACGAAGUCGGGCGGAAGCACACAAGUGUACUCGUUCUAGACUCUUGGUAUCAUGUCGUUGGCCGCCGACACAACCACCUCAAGACAAGAACUCAUACCAUUUGAAUUCGUCUCUAUUCACAACUAGAGACAUAUUACCAACUUCAACCCAAUCGAAUUAACUUCUGCUAUCGUUAUAGGUUUACGCUUCGCUCACGCACCUAUAACCUUAGGGCUUACCAACCUAGGGUCUCCUAAGUCAUCCUAGACUUUCUCUCUUUACUUUCUCUUUUUGCUCUGAUACCAUACGACUGUCACGCCCCGCCCCGAAACCACUACCAAUUUGGCACGAUUCGGGCGGACCAGUCCCCUCAGCCAGGGACCGUUUGCAUUAACCUCCCCCGCAACCAUCAGCUACGGGGACCGGUCCUCCCUUCCAGGGACCGGUCCCUGAGAGCAAAAUCUGCUAAGUCCAGAUUUUUGCAUAUCUGCUCUCGCGUAUACGUUUCCAAUGCACUUUUUGUGUUUUGGACAACUUUAGCUUUCCCGAAGGAUACUCACUCGACAAGUAGUCGAUCUUGGACGAAGUACAACUGUCGGAUUUCGAGAAUUCACUUCCUUACACCCACGGAAUUCAAAGCAAACUCAAUCGAGUUGAGCAACUCAAGGAAACCGGAAUUCAAAGCCACAACGACAAUUUGAACCAAAGUCACAUGCAACGAAACGACCAACGGUGGAUCAAAAAUCAAAACGAGUUGAGCCUAACGUCGACAAGCCAAGACAACCAACAAUCCGACAAGUUUGGAUUCGGAAAGAUGAUAUCUUUCCUUGUUCUACAUCUUAGUUUGUUUUGAUUAUUUCAGUAAUGCUUUGGUUGGUGCUUAUUGCAUAUUAUUAUUCAUUGCAUUACAUGUUCAAACGUUUUUUUUAUUUAAAUUUUAUUCUUUUAAAAUUGGUUUGAGAAGGAUGAUUGGGAAUUAAAAUUUGAUUUUUGAGAAAGGUGACGAUUUAAAAUCAUUAUUUCGGGGAAAUUAAGAUUUUCAAAGUGCCUUAACCAAAUUAAAACUCAUAUUGAGUUAAAUUCAUUUUAAUUAUCGGUUUUAAUCCACAUUUUAUUAUUUUGACGAUAAAUUAUUAUAUGAUUUCUUAUUGCAUAAAUUCAUCAAAAUUUUGAAAUCAAAUUUGAUCUCUUGGUGAUUAAUCUAUUUUGGUUGUGUGUGUUGAUUAUGAUGAAUGGAUAUUCACUAAUAGACUAAAAUUUGUCAAAAUUACUUUCAUUUGCGAGAUUGUCUAAUUUAGGGAGAGUUUGAAUAAUUUUUUUAAAAAAGAAACUCCUAUGUUUAAAAGAUGUGGAAAGAGUUACAUCCAAAACGAGUGUGAAAACUACCACCACAUAUAGGAAAGAGCUACAACCUCGGUCGUCCGGUAAGUGUGUGAAGCUACCACAUCGUAAUUAAUUGAAUAACCGAAAGGGUUGAUAAAAAAGAAUAUUUUAGAUUUUUCGGAGUUAUAAGGUGGCAGGAUGAAAAGACGCUCAAAGAGCCACCCCUCGGUGUUUUAUUAGUUAAAUCUCUAUUUUGAACGUUUUGCGACAAAUUGGUGUCAAUUUUGCCGACUUUCUAUAAGUCUUUUUUCAUUAACCGUUACAUCUUGAUGAUUUUGAAUCACUAGGUUAUUUUUGAUAACAAAAUUUUGAUGUUUCGAUGCAUUUAGAAAUCCUAUAAUAUUUUAUUUUCAUUAUAAUGAUUUUUGGAGUACAAUUCUUAAUUAUUUUGAAAUUAAUUUAUUUAUGAAAUUUUCUAGGCAAAUUUUUCGAAUUUUGUGAACUGUUAACCGGUUGCUAAAUCCCGAGUACCGGUACCAGUACUGCCCGACAGAAUUAUUUAACCGGUUCAAUUAUUUGUUUCUCUUCCAAAUCCGAAAUCAAAUCGCUCUCUUUCUAUCUCUAAAAUCCCUAUAUGUUUUCUAGUAUGUUUUCUCUCUAUAUGCUCUGUUUUGGCAAUUUUUGUCAAAAAGGGGGAGAACAUAGACGGACAGGUAUUGAGCAAAGAUGGAGAAGUUUUUGAAGAUCAAAGGGGGAGAAGAAGAGAAGGACUUGAAUGUAAGAAUAUCUAAUGUUUUUCCUUUUCUACAUCAUUUUGGAUAAUUUGUUUUGCAGGAAAUCAAGUCUUCAAGACUCCUAGUUCCGUCUAAGUCAUAGAGUUUGUUUAAGGAGUUUUGAUGUAAUUUGGACUUCAUAUUGUAUUUGGAUUAUACGUGAGAGGUUUGAUGUUUUGGUGAUGACAUUGAACUUCGUUUUUCAUUUAUGAUGUAAUUUUUGAGUUUUGUCACGAAAUUGUCAAAGAGGAGAUUGUUAAGUAUUUUGUGUUGGUAAGUUUCGUGAUUUGAGUCAGAGUAUUGAAGGGUUCGGUGCGUUAUUGUCGAAGAUCGAAGAAUUCAAGACUUCGAGAACUCAGAAACAUCUCACCGCAUGAAUCACGAUGCUAAGGUAAGGUUUUAAUUCGUGGUAUGGUGAUUCAUAUUUAGUUAUAGACAUUAGAAUCAUGAAAGUCAAAGUUUAAUGGAUUAGAAAGUGCUUCGGAACUUUGUGAAACCCGAAACUGUGCAAAAUCUGAAAACUGCACUGUGUAUGGGUAUAGCAUUGAAAGUGUACCGGUACAAAACUGGUUCCGGUACAGCAUUGACCUUGUAACUUGUCACGCCCCGCCCCGAAACCACUACCAAUUUGGCACGAUUCGGGCGCGGCGAGCGGACCGCCGAACGGACAGCACCUCUCCUGUCCGCCCAAGGCUCACAACAAGAAUGUGUACAAUAAUUUCCCAGGAAUUUAAAUUCUAAACAUACACAUUCAACGGGGCACAAAUAGUGCCAGCAACUACAAGAGCAAAUAAUCCACAGGAAUAACAUGUGAAAUAAAGAGAGUAUUUUGCUAGCUAUUGCAAUAGUUCAUCCUUUUCACUUACAUCAUUUUCUUUAAAUGAAUACAUCUUUCAUCCAAAAUACAUAGCUCUCCAAAUCCUCACCUACAAUGAAUCUCUCUCUCAAUACAUAGGUGUACUAAUGCAAAAAGGAAAGCUACUAUACUACCACGGUCUCACUGGUCGGGCCGAUGCCCUUGCCGCGGUCUUCUCUCGGCAGCUCUGUACCUACCAAUGGAAAUAGAGUGGGGUGAGAACUAUCUUCCAUAGUUCCCAGUGGGCUCGGCCGCCGACUCCGCCGAUCUCCCCACUAGUUCCAAGUAGGCACAAGCAACAACAGAUAGAUAGAUAGAUAGAUAUCUGAAAGCUGUAAAUGCGAUAGUAGGAAAACUAUGCUACUAUGCCUAUAAUCAUGUGUAAUGAAUGCAUGCAUCAUAUAGUAAAGGUUUACUAUCAUGCUAACGAAUUCGAUCCAUGUUCGAAUAAUAAUGUUCAAUGACAUUGUUCACUGUUCUUUUACCCAAUUUGUAGCGAAGCCCUAGGGUUCGCCAAUAACUCACCUUUCAAUCCCAAAGUGGGGAGGGAGCUCCAAGUGCACCCAAGCCCGGGACCGUCUGCGGACCUCCAUGUGGUCCUAGUCGCCCGACACUCCGGAGUACUCGACGACAAUCCCCUCCAUGUGGGGAUAUGGAUGCUAUACUACCCCAAAAGCAGACUGUGAGCUAGAUCUAUCCUCUCCAAGUGAGGAUACCCUACAACUAUGGUCAACAACCCAAUCAAAUCCUCUCCAAGUGAGGAUGCUCACAACUAAGGUCAACAAUCCAAUCAAAUCCUCUCCAAGUGAGGAUGCUCUACAACUAGGGUCAACAACCCAAUCAAAUUCUCUCCAAGUGAGGAUGCCCUACGACUAGGGUCAAUAUCUCAAUAACUCAUCGACAACCUCUCCAUGUGAGGGUACUUAGGUUUAUUAAGUUCUUUAUCCAUAAGGCAUUUUCUAAGGGAUCCACCUAUCCCUAGCUUCUCAAACCUCUAGUAUCAUUUACACUAUAUUAAUGCCACUCGUUAUUCUUUAACAUUUGGAUGCCACUCGUUUGUUCUUUAACAUUAAACAUUACUUUCUAUAUCACCAACCCUCAUCGGGUUCAUCUCUUUUCUUUCGGAUCAUAGGAUCCACGUUCCGACCCAAUCCUCACCUAUCUAAGUUACCAAGUGUUCCAAGUACACUAGGUUAUCAAUUAGAAAGCAUAAGGAAAGGUUCUACUAUGCAAUCCUACAAUGCAACAAGUAAGAGAUGAGAUUAAAUGCAAUUUAAGACAUAGAAAGGAGUUCGAAAGCUUCGGAUGGCACCCCCCACCUUUUACCAAUGUAGAGGCUUUAGAAAUGUUCCUCGGUGAACUUUACGAAAAGGCUUUAGCCUUUCUUGGUCCAAGACAAAGCUAAAUCGGCUGUAUUUCGCCGAUAGCUCCAAAUCCACUCGACGAAUCGCGAAAUCGACUUCGUGCCCGCGUUUUGUGACCUACCAAUUAGGUUUACAAGGCCUCAAAUGAGAUCAAUCUCAUACUUUACUAAAAACCCCAUUUUGGAGCCUUAGUGUCACGCCUCGAGACCGCUACCAAUUUGGUCCGGUUCGAGCGCGUCGAACAGACGCCGAACGGACAGAGUCUCCCCUGUCCGCCCAAGGCUAAGCAAACGAUCAUGUACAAGAAUUUACCCAGGAAUCAAUUCAUAAGUACACAAUCACAAGAGCACAACAAGUGCUAACAAGUAAGAGCAAGGCACAAGUAUAAAGCAUACAAGUAACGAUAAAGAGAGAAGGUCUAUCUAUUACAUUCAUUCAACCUCUUUAAUACAUCGAUUUACAUUUAAACUGCCAAAUACAACAUGAGUUUACAUUUCCAAAAUGAUACCUCACACCCUAUACAUCAUCUACUCUCAAGUACAAAAGGGUGGCUCUAAUGCAAAGGAAAGUAAACUAAUGCAUCUAGGGCGCUAAGUCUCCUUAACCUGCGAUCUUCUGCGCCGUGUGAUAUUGCUGCUUCUUGUUCCUCUGUAGUUAAAAUGGGGGGUUGAAGAACUUAACUUCCCUUAUCUACCAGUGGGUUCGUCCUGCCAUCCUGCCUGUCCUUUCCCAAUCUUAGUUCCUAGGUGGGCAUGCAAGUAGAUUAACCGAUAGAUUAUGAUAUGAGAACUGUAAGGCCAAGAAUAAGUAAAACUACUCUACAUGGCCUCGCAUUAUAAAUUAUUAUUUGAAUCCUAUGUUUCAAUGUAAAUCGGUAUGUCAACUACAUGUGUCAUCAUGUCAUUGUAAGUAAUUAAUGUUUAUUUACUGUUCAUUUUAAUCGUAUUGGCUCACUCGAGGGUUCCACCUACUACGCACUUAUAGCCAUAUUCUCGACGCGUUAGGAUGACUCAAUCUCAAACUAGCAUUUUUCGAGAUCUUCUGUUGCUGGCGUGAUCUCCGCCACUAUAUGGCUAUUUCUCUCUCGGGACCAUCCAAAUUAGUGCUAUCUACGUGAUUCAACUUUCGUAGCGCAUGCUACCUUGUGUUGGUAGUCGACUCAUCACUUAGAGGUAUUAGAACAAUCCGUGGAGCCAAGAUCCAAUCCUGCUCUCACUCGAAGAUCCCUUACCUCUAGGUCUUAAUUUUUCAUCACCAAGUCCAUAGUUCAUAUACACUAACUCACAUGAGAUGUCCCACUCGCCUCUUUUGUUACUAAUCAACUAGAGCCAACUUGUUCAUCUUUUGUUUACUAUCUAACAUAAGAUGCCACUAGUUCUUGUUUACAUAUCCACUAGAUCCACUCAUAUCUUUUGUUUACCUAUCAACUAGAUGCCAGCUAUUUUUUUGUUUAAUAUUAAAUCCCAACCAUUGAGUCCAUCUCACCUCGCACUAUAGGAUUCACGAAUCACGACCCAAUCCUCAUCAAUCCACUAUAUCAACAAUAAACAUUAUAGAUCUCCAAUCUAAGGUAGCAUAUAGGAACUCCAAUGCAUCAAUUCAUCCUAAUAAUGCAAGUAAUACCAAAUGUCAAGAUUAAUGUAGCUAAGACAUAAAGGAGUCCAGUUGCUUCGGAUGUCACCACCACCUCUUGGUAGUGCCGAAAAGGUUAGAAAACCCAACCUUUGUUAGUGGUAAUAUCCCGUACGUCCUCUCCACUCGCUCUGGCAACAAACCCAUUACUUGUAUUUCGAUAAACUCGCACCCGUUGUCGGAUCGGACGAACGUCUCGCCAACGUGUAUAGAACCUAGCAAUUAAUUUACAUGAGGGUUAAUUGAGAUCAAACCCCCAUUUUUCCAAAAUGCAUUGAAUCCUAGGUUCAACUGCAAAAAUCACAAAUUGAUCCAUGCUUAGGACAACACACUAUUAGGCAUCCCAUAGAUUCCAAUAAAUCCAUUUUUAUAGCAUAUAAAUGAGCCUACCAUCUAACAUUAUAGAUUUUGGGAAGUCCCUAGGUCAAACAUGAGGAAAUCCAUGCUCAAAGCUCAAAUUCGAGCCUAGAACCAUCAACUUAGCUCCAAUAAGGUUCUCAUUCAACCAAUUCUAAAACCAUAAAAUCGGCCUAUCUUAAGGAAUCUACCAUUAUAGGUUGGGGCUUACUCUAAAACUUCUCCAAAUGUUAGGAGAGGAGAACAGAUAUGAAUCUCCUCUUCUUGGCUUCUUCUCCUCUCUUCUUUCUUCUUUUUUUUUUUUUUCCUUUCUUUUCCUUCUUCGCUAUUCCUUUCUUCUUUUCUUCUUUCUUUCUUAGAGAGAAGAGGAAAAAAGUGGAGAGUUGAAGAAUAAGAGAAACUUGAGAGGAGAAGCUGUAAUGUGUUGUGUAUCGCAUGCAACCAGCACACAUAGUCUCUGAACAAUUUCAAUAAACCCUCUCACACCUAUUAACAACUUGCAUUUCGAGUUCGGAACAUGUGUUGUCGGGCCCUUAUGAAUGUCCGUUUGCUCAAAUUUCGAUCGGCAGGCUCGGUUAACGUACUGAGCAAGAAUAUACAUUAAUUUCAGUUUCGACCUGCCGUGGUCACCGAAAAUGGCCGGAACUGUAAUCUUUAGUAAUAGCAUUCGAUUUUACUCUCCACCUUGUCCGGUGCACGAAUGGGCUGAAACUUAAAUCUACCUCAAAAAAAUAAUUCUGUACAUAUCCUCCAGUUUCAUUAAAUUCUCGAACACUGUGCAUUUCUGCUAAUUUACCACUCCCCAUUCCUCACAUAGAAAAUCUAUAAUUUUCGGUUUUCGCUCCGAUUCAGCACAGGUCCUUUCAUAUACUUACUUCUAUGAGUCGCAAUAAAAUAGUACUCACACUAUUUUAUUUAUAUUAUUAUUAAAUAAACCCGCCAUCUAUCUCUACCGAACUCCUAUUUUCAGAAGUUCCGGUACCUAACAUUCUCCCCUCCUUAACAUGAUUUCGUCCUCGAAACGAACUCAAUUUAAUCAAAAUUUUAAGCUCGAAUCUUAAAUCAUACCAUUCCAAUCCUCAAAUAAGUGAGUGGUGAUUUCGCGCUUCAUUUAGACCUCGAACUCCAGUGCUUCGCGAUCGUAUAUUGCUCCACCGACCUUGACACUGAAUUUCUCGAUCCUCAAACUUGCGCACUUCUCGAGCUAAUAAUGCCACCGAAAACUCCUCGUAGCUCAAGUCCUCCUGAAGUCCGCGGUUCAUACAACAUCGGUGCUCCGCGAUAGGUAUUACUUCCGAAGAUUGGAGACUUAAUACAUGUUAACCAUCCCGCGAGCUUUUGGCGGCAACGCGAUCGAUAAGCCACACGUCCCAAAUCCGCUCCACCAGAAUCUCAUAGGGGCUCAAUAUAUCGGGACUAGCUUUUCCCCGAACUCCAAAUCGCCUUCAACGCCCUCAUAGGCGAUAAACCUUUGGAAAAACUAGGCGUCCGCCCAUGUCGCAAACCCAAGUCCGCGCCGGCGCGCCUAUCCGCAUAGCUUUGCUGCGAGACAGCCGUGAGUUAACCGUGCAGCAAAGGCGGACCUUUCUCUUGCCGCCUCUCGCAACCAUCGGGGCCAAAUUCUCGUGCGCCUCUGCCCACAAUCGCAAUAAAGGGGGACCGGCACUUCGCGCAUAAAGAGCCUGAAACGUGGCCUAUCUCCACACUUCAUGAUAAGUUAUUUGUAGGCAAACUCGCUCAUCGCAGAUACUUGCAGACCAACCUCUUCUGUAGUCCAUACACACACUCGAUGAACAUAUCCUCCCGGUCUGAAUGGUUCUUUCAAGUUGCCCUCCGUCUUCUGAGGAUCGAAAUGCAUGCUGAAGGAGCCGUGUGCCACGGCCUCGCUUGCAGCUUUUCCUAUGAAAUGUGAAUGUGAACUGGGGUCUACUAUCCGACACAAUUGACUUCGGACCCCCAACUCACGUGUAACCUACUACUUCCGCAAGAUAUACCUUGCGCAACAUUUAUCUCCUGCCCAAUGGAUGGGUGUGGACGUAGAAAGUUGCCGACUUUCGGUCAAGACGAUCCACAAUCACCACCCCAAUUGCGCGUGCCGCCUGUCGAGCGAGGCAAGCAACAGAAAAUCCAUCGAUAUGUCCUACCCAUUUCCAGACCGGAUAGUAGGCUUUAAAGCUUCCUGCUGGAAAUGGCUCCGCCUUCACCUUGCUACAAGCCUCAAACACUUCGCACGAAGCGCCCAAUUAUCAAUUUCAUCGCCCGGCCACAAUACAGUGCUCUCAACUCAUGAUCACACUUGUGCUAAGAGAACACGGUAUUGAUCAGCGUAAUGGAGACCGGUGGCGCUUUUGCAAAAUCACAUCGGCGAAGCCUCUUCACUUGGUGACACAGCCACGGUUCGAAACCGCGAAGCGCGCCACCGGCGUUCAACUGAAUAUCGCACUGCCUUGACCUCCUCGAUAUUACGCCGCACCUUUGAGACUGGAUUUGCCGCAGAUUGCAUUCUGAAUCUCUCCAACAUAUGUCGGUUGAACAAACGAGUACCAUACACUGAGUCGGAUCUCGGAGCGACCCUUCUAGUCACGUCCAUAUCCAGGCCAUAGGGUGUUAUGUUUCGGUAACAUCAAAAGCAAGGUUCUUUUCGCCGACUUUUCCUGCAAGCGCCUCCGCGAUACAUUUGCCUUUGCCGGGUGGUAGAGGAUAUCACAUCGUAAAUCCUUUAACAGUCCAACACCGCGUUGACCAUAUCAACUCCCUUCUGGUAAAUAGAAUUAUCAACUUUUGGGGUUAAAUCUCGGCGCGUACGCAGCCAUAUAGUAGUGCCUCCCACAGCUUCAGACGCAAAGAUUACGCCGCCUGCCAACCUCCAAGUCAUAUCGAUUGGGGAUAAUCUUCUCAUGGUCCUUUUAACUGACGGACGCAUAAGCAUCACUCUCCCGCCUUGCAUCAGACUAACACCCCAAACCUAGAUAGGAUGCAUCAUCUAUAGAACCGCAAAGUCUCGCCCUGCACCGGUAAGCGAUAAUCCGGGCCGAAUUAACCUUAUCUUUAACUCUUAAUCUCCGGUCACAACCGUCGCUCCAAAUAAACUUGAACGCCCCUUCUGCGUCAGAUCGGUAAGACGAGUCCACAAUCUUUCGAAAAGCCUCCACAAACCGUCGAUAGUAGGCCCCCUAACCAUGAUAGCUCCACUACUCGGUGACGUUCGUUGGGCGCGGCCAAUCUCAAUCUGGCUUCGACUUUCCUCUGUUCAACUGAUAACACCCGCCCUCGAAAUUACGUUGACCCUAAGAAGCAACCUCUCGAAGACUAGAAUCAACUUCUUUAACUUCGCGCAUUAGCUUUCUCCCUCCCGAGAGAUUUGAAGCACUAUCAGCGAAAUGCUCCGCGUGCUCUUCGUCGGUCCGCCGAAUAGACCAAGAGUCGUCUAUGAUAGAACCACGAAACACUACGGGAUCCAAGCACUCUUUGAACACACGUUCAUUAAUCCAUGAAUCUACCGGCAUUAUGACUCGCAAGGCAUAACCGUUAUUCGUAUGUCCCAUACGCGUGCAAACGCGUCUCUACCAUCCUCCACUUAAUCUUUAAAACUAUUGAAGCCGGAUUGUAGCUCUAUCUCGAGUACACUCGUGACCUACUUAACUGAUCAAAUAAUCGUCCGAUUCGGCAACGGGUACUUUGUUCUUAUCGUGACUCGACUUCACUCCCGAUAACCACCCAAGUCGCAAACGAGCCAUCCUUCUUGCCCGAACAACACGGGGCUCCCACGGCGAAACGCUUCGCCUAUAACACCCUUGUCCGAGAAGAUCCUGUAGCUGAUCCCUCACUCCCAUAACUCUGCCGCGCAUGCGUACGGGGCCUUGAGAUCGGCGCGCCGGGAACAAUGCUAUAACGAACUCGAUCUCGAUCCGGCGGCAUCCCCGUAACCUCCGCGAAAUACAUCCGAAUUCCGCACCAUACCGAUACAUCCUCUAACACGAGCCACUCGGAUCCACUCCAUGACAAGUCGCCAAAAUGCUAAUCGUCAGCCGCGUUGACACAACUUUCCUAGCCUCGUGGCGAUCUUCGUCGCGACGAAGCAGAGCUUCGACAAGCUCGAUAAAUCAACUCCUCCUGUCCUGCUCCCGAAAGGUAAUCAAUUUAUUCUUAAUCAAUCGUGCAUAACUUUUGAGAGCCACUCCAUGCCCAAAAAUGAUCAUACGGCCUCCAGUUACUUAAGUUCAACUCCGAUAGCAUUAUCCAGUCGCCUACAUCUUGUACUUGGGCAGCGAAGAGCACUCCGUGUAGGUAUGAACGAUCAGACUCAGCCAUCAACUCGCCAUUACCACCUCGCUUCUAGGUAUGUCAUGAUACGCGUCGAAUGCCUAACUAAUAAACGAAUGUUGCACCUGUAAGCACCAUACCUGGAAUCGAACGUCCGUUAAUUAAAACAUUACUGCCACAUUUCUUUACGUUAGCUCCUCGCUGGGUAGACUGCCUCGGCUUGGCCUGAGCGCGCGAAUACCGCGCUCGCGCUGAUCCAAACACUCCGGCCACGCGGCAAUUCCGCGCCUCCUGCCGAACGGGAAAUAAGGAGCUCCUCAUAAGUUAGGUGGGGUUUCGCUGGAGAUGUCGAUUGCGACUGACGUAGGCGGGCCCUGCUGGACAUGGCGGCUGAUAUGCCGCUUCUUGCCCACACCUUGAAGCAUUUGCCCUGUCGUUGGCCUACACUGCCGCGCUCGAGGUGGCACUCAGCACCGCAGAUAGCACAUCUGCGCCCACAGCGACCACGACUGGAUCGCCGGUGUUUCGGGGGUCCUCUUGGAACUCUUUGGUUGUUGCUUGGUUUUUCGACUGACUCCCACCACCGCUCGAUUGUCCCGCUUUCUCCCUCUUGUCCUGGUCCAGCCCAACAACUCUCGCGUUCCUCCCAGCACGUGGCUAUCUCCCUUCUCCGCCCACAACCGCUCUACAAAGACCUCGCGCAGGUCGUGACUUGAGCAGUCUGCAGGUCCGCCCGGAUUAAUCCAUUGCCGACUCCCACGCCAGAACCACUCGGCCCGACUGAGUCGCCCUAACAACGUCCGGUACAUACAGUCUAUUAAUGUGGGAAACUCCUGCUCCGUGAUUCCUGCUACUCAUGCCGAUCCUCCUUCCAAUUUGUCGAACCUCUCUUCAAUUUCCGCCUCUCUUCUCCGGUGCGGGAAUGUAAUCCCGAACAUUGCCCUCUAAACCCCUCCCAGAACAUUGGGAAGGUCAAGGACCGAUCCGCUUCACGCAGCUUCCACCACACCUUCGCCGCCUUUCUCGGGCAAUGGUGACGGGUAACCUUGUCCUUCUCCGAGGUAUAAUAGGUCCUACGAAGAGGGCUCCCAUAGAGUAAUCCAUGACUCACCAUUGCCGCCCACUUCUCCCCUCAAAGAUGCGGUUUAAACUCUUGAAACUUAAUAAGCGCGCAAUCUGCGCUGCUCGCUCGCUCCACCUCCUCGUCGUCGGUCAUGGUGUCCGCCGACCCGAAGCCGCCCGGCACACUUGUCGCGGGGAACGCGCGAUCGGAACCGCUUGCUAUGACCUCACCCGCCGCUACCGGCUGCGCGGCCGAAGUUCGGGCGAUCGUGACUCCUGCCGCUGUCGCGGCCGCCCGCGCCGCUUGCCGCCCAUCAAUCCCUGAGUCUGCUCGAUGAUCGAGCCUCCUGGCGCUGGAUCUCGCCACCAACAUUGCAGCGACCUUGCUCCGCCGCAUCCUGCACGCUCCUGAUCAGAUCGCUCGGCACCUGCAAGGAGGCGGUACUGAACACCUACCUAUAGCGCCUUGGAGACAGUUUGCUCCUGCAAACAACACGUUGGUUCGUUAUUUUAACCCGAUAACUUCUUAACGUUCACGGCAAAUAAACGCUCGCCAAUGACCAAUCGGCGAACACACAAGUCGUUCUAGUUUGGACUCUUAGACGUCGCGUCGUCGGCCGCCGACGGACAACUACGAGCCAAGAAACUAGUGUCACUUACCGUCUCUUAUCAAAGCUAAGAACAACAUAACAUCUAACUUCGAGCCCAAUGAAUCACUUACGCUACCGCCUAUGAGGUUCACGUCUCAACUCCACUAAUUCGCCUAAAACCUUAAGUUUUCUCAUCUAAGGUCUCCUAGGUCGAUCAUAGACCUCUCUUACUUGCUCUUACCUGCUCUGCAUUACCAAUUAAUCUGUCACGCCUCGAGACGCUACUGAAUUUGUCCGGUUCGAGCGCGUCGAACAGACUCCGAACGGAACCGUCUCCCCUGUCCCAAGUCUAGUCAGACGAUCAUGUACAAAAUUUACCUCCCCAGAAUCAAUUUAUAAGUAACAAUCACUAAGAGCACAACAAUCCUAACAAUGUAAGCGCAGCCCCAAAAUUAUACAAGCAUUACAAGCACGAUAAAGAGAGAAGGUCUAUCUAUACAUCAUUCAAACCUCUUUUAUACAUCGAUUUACAUUAAACUGUCCAACAUACAACAUGAGUUUCGUAUCAUUCCAAAAUGAUACUCAAUGUCCCUCCAGUAACAUCAUCUACUCUCAUACAAAAGGGUGGCUCUAAUGCAAAAGGAAAGUAAACUACUGCAUCCUAGGCCUAAACCUUACCGCCGAUCCUUCGCCGUGUGAACUCGCGCUCUUCGCCCUGUAGUAAAUGGGGGGGUAGAACUAACUCUUAGUUCCCAGUGUUUCGGCCGCGACCCCGCCUGGUCUCCCCACUAGGUCCAGUGCACAGUUAUAAAAGAUGAUAGAUAUGGAAAGCUUAAGAAGAAUAAAACCUACGCUACAUGCCUGACAUCAUAAGAUAUAUGAAAUGGCAUGUUCAAUGAAAGGGUAAGCAACUAAUGCAUCAAUGUAUAAAGUUAGUUAUUUAACUUGUUCAUUAAUCUUAGGCUCACCAGGGUUCACUCUACAACUCACACUAGCCUCUUCGACGCUAGGGAGACUCAAACUCAAAAACUACUAAUCCAGAGCCGGUCUGCGGACCACCAUAGGCUAUCCCUCGGUACCUCCAAAUAGGCUAUCCACGUGCACCAACUCCGAGCGCACUACUUGUUUGGACGACCAUCACAAGGUAUAAACCAGACGGAGCAAGAUCCAUAUCCCUCCCACUCGGAGAUUCCCUCUAUCCUCUAAUGGUUACUUUCAUCACAUUAGGUCAUAGGUUUCAUAUACACUAGAACCACAUAGAUGACCAUCGUUCUUUGUUGUUUACUAUCACAAUGCCCCUCAUUCUUUUGUUUUACUAUUCAACUAGAUGCCACUAUUCUUUGUCUACUAUCAAACAGAUGCCACUCAUAUCUUUGUUACUAUCACAGAUGCGCACUAGUCUCUUUUUAAUAUCAACCAACCCUUGAGAUCCAUCUUUCACACAGGAUGUCGCACUGAUACUGUUCACAAUUCUCGACCCAACCUCAUCAAUCCACUAUAUCCACAACUAAACAUAGUAUCAUAUCAUCUAGGUCAGCAUAAGAAGCAAAUGCACAUAACAUCACUAUAAUGCCAAGUGAAUACAAGAUCAAAUUAAUGUACUAAGCAUAAAGGGAUCCAGUUGCGUCGGUACUUGUUCACCACCCACACUCUGAGUGCCACGAAAUUAGAAAACCUACACGCUGCGAUCCUCCCGUGAAACGUCGCUUCCACCUUCGGGAACCAAAUCCCUCAUUACUUGUUUUGGCAUAAUCCGCACCCGCUUGUCGAUCGACGAACCCUCGCCAAAAGGUUUUAGACCUAGUCAAUUAGGUUUACAGAGGGUUUAUAUGAGAUUCAAACCCCAUUUUCUAAAAUGCAUUUGAACGCCCUAAUGUUUAACUUUUGCAAAAUUCACACUAAAAUGAAUCCAUGAUCUUAGGCAACAAUCAUCUAUUAGCAUCAUAGGACCUCCCAAUAAAUCUCCAUUUUAAUAGCAUAUAAAUGAAGCCCUAAAAUUCUUCUAACCAUUAUAGGCUUUUUGAAUAUCCCUAGUUUCAACGACAUGAGGAAUCCAGGCUCAGUUCAAAUUCGAGCUAAGAACUCUCUUAUCCUAGCUCCAAUAAGUUAGCAUUCAAACCUAAUUCUAAACAUAAAACUCUACCUAUCUUAAGGAAUCACCAUUAUAGGGUUGACUUACCCUUAAUAACUUCCCAAAAGGUUGAGGGAAGAGGAGGAUAGAGAUGAUCUCUCCUCUUCUGGUCUCUUCUCCCUUCUCUUCUAUCUUUCUUUUUUUUUUUUCCUUUCUUUCCUUUCUCUCUUUCUUUCUUUCUUUUCUUUUCUUCUUUAUCUUCUAGAGAGAAAAGGAAAAAGAUGUGAGAAGGGGAGAGAAUGAGAUAACUUGAGGAGAAGUGGUACUUUGUGUGGUACCAUGCAACCAGCCCACAUAGUCUCUGUAACCAAUUGAGCAAAACCCUCCCCUCCCACACCUAUUACAACUUGCAUUUUUCGCUUUGUGCUACAAUCGACACAGGCUCGUUAACGUACCUGAGCAAAUAAUAUAAUCUUAGUAAGUUUUCCCAUUUCGCAGUUUGUCACCGAAAACUCGUGCCGAACUGUAAUCUUUAGUAGAAUAGCAGUUCGAUUCUUAUUCCAGCACCUUCCGGUGUCAGAAUCGGCUAAAACUUUCAAUCUGAGCCUCAAACCAUAAUUCUGACAUAUCCUCCAGUUCAUAAUUUCUGACACGUGCAUUUUCUGCUAAUUUAUCUGCCCAUCCUACAUUUGCAGGAAAAUUCUUAAAUCUUCGGUUUGCGCCUUCCGAUUUUCCAGCACAGGUCAUUCCAACUUAUACUACUUCUAGAGUCCAAUAAAUUACUCACACUAUUUUAUUUAUAUUUUUUAUAAUACACUCUCGACAUACAUCACUACCUGUAACCUCCUAUUUUCAAAGUUCGUAUCUCUACCACUUUAGGUCUCCAUCUGCCAUGUGCACAUUUGAACCCUAACUCUCGCUUUGAUCCUCACAAUGGUCUAGGUCCAUUUGACCCCAUUUCCAAGCUCAAACCCAAAAACCCUAAGUUCUACGAACUAGGGUUUAGAGUUUACCUCGCUCUUGACUACUCAUAAGGAAGAGGAGAGGGAGAAGGUGUCCAAGGCCUUCCUCUUGAUCUCAUUCUUCUUCUUCUUCUUUUUCAUCUUCUCCUUUUCCUUUCUCUCCUUCUUGUUCUUCUUGUUCUUCUUCUCUUUCUAGAGAGAAAGAGGGAGAGAAAAUAUGAGAGGAAGAGAGUGUGAGUGAGGGUGAGAGAGGAACAGGGCUCAGCCCCUCUAAUCCUCCCUAACUAAUUCCAAUUUGCAUAAAAACCCCUCAACUUUUAAUCCUAUGCACUGCCCUUACUGGGCAGAAUUCGCGCGGAGGGACCGGUCUCCCCAACUUGGGACCGGUCCCCGAGAGCCUCCCUCGGGCGCACGCGUUCGGGAACCGAUCUCUCCCCGGGAGACCGAUCCUCGGGAGACCGGUCCUCGCCUGAGAGACCGGUCCCCGAGAGCUCGAUUUUCAGGACUUAGCCAAAUUUCGGCAUUUCUCGCUGGGGCCACGUUCGGGGAUCGGUCCCUCCCUUCCAGGGACCGGUUGCAUCAAGCAACCCCGCUACACCCAGCCGAUGGAACCGGUCUCUCACCUCCAGAGACCGGUCCCCGAGAGUAACAUCAGCCCAAUGAUGCAGUUUGCACCAUUUGCUCUCGUGGACUCAACUCCAAGGCACUUUUUGUGCUUUGGACAUCUUUAACUUCCCCAAAGGAUAUUCUCUCGACAAAUAGUCGAUCCUGAACGAAGUAUAACUCUCGGAUUUCGAGAAUUCAAUUCCUUAUAUCCGGUUUCAAGUAUUUAAAAGUUUUCUGUUCCGUCCUUGUGUAACCGGUAACAACUUAUUUUUGCACCGGUACACAGUGUAAAAUUCUGAAAACUUUCUAAUCCGACUCUAAUUGAUUCUAAAGUCUAUAAAUAAGGUAUUAGGGUUCUCUAACUCAUCAAGCAUCACGAGAAUUCUUGUUAGGGAAGCCCUAGAGGCUAGGAUUUCAUCAAAACUUAUUUUCUACAAAAUAGCCUCGUGUAGGUCAAUUCGAGAUAUCGUAAUUUGAGAUCUAUAUGUCGAAUUGAUCUAAGACUUCGCUUAGAGUUUUGUCUCUGGUUCAUUAUCGAUAUUCUCAGCGAAGGAUCACCAUAGCAUGAUGUUCUUCAUGGAUGGCGUCGUGGAUUUGGCGUGAUUGAAGGCGGAUCGUGGAUUCGGAUCGUGGGCUCGUGGAUUCGAGUGGCGUUCAUGGAUUCGGACAUGUGCAAGGCAUUCGUGGAUUCGAACGUGAGGGCGUGGACAACCCAGAGGAUUGCGCGGGAUUCGUAGGAGGUUAAGAGAGGUCGAGUCCGUGGAGUCGGUAAUCACUUUGUAAUCUUUUCUCUUAGUGAAUUAUUUUUUCGCGUGUUGGUCCCGUGGGUUUUUUACUCCAAAUUGGAGUUUUUUCAAGUAAAUCUCGGUGUGAUUUUUAUUUUUCGCAUUUAUUUUUAUCGCAUUGAGAUUUGUGGUUUUUGGCCGUUACACCUAUUCACCCCCCUCUAGGUGUUUGAUACAAUCUAGAUAGAUCCUAGGGCUCUUCAAAACUCACAAUUGGUAUCAGAGCGGGAUCUAGAUAUAUUGUUAUCUAAUGGCCGAAGGCGCUAACAUUAAUCGACCAUCACUCUUCGAUGGCACGAAUUAUGCCUAUUGGAAAGUUCGCAUGAGAGCUUUUCUAAUUGCAAUCGACGAGCGAGUGUGGCAAUCAAUCGAAUUCGGAUGGAAAUAUCCUACCGAAGUCGUCGAUAAUGCUACCGUCCCUAAACCGAGAAAUAAGCGGACUAAAGAUGAAAACGAGUCAUCUUCGUUUAAUGGCAAGGGAAUAAAUGCUUUGUUCAAUGCAUUAUCUCAAACGGAGUUUACUCGUGUCUCGGCAUGUGAAACCGCCAAGGAGAUUUGGGAUACUUUACAAGUUACACAUGAGGGUACGAGUCUAGUUAAAAUUCAAAAGCUCCAGAUGUUGACAAGUCAAUUUGAUUUGAUUCGUAUGGAGGAGCAUAAAUCAUUUACCGAAUAUUAUACUAGACUUCAAGAUAUAAUUAAGAUAUGUGCUAACUUGGGAGAGAAAAUCCCGGAUUCUAAAAUUGUUAGAAAAAUUCUUCGAACUCUUCCAGAACGCUUUAGGGCAAAAGUGGCCGCAAUUGAAACGGUUAAGCAUUUGGAUGAGAUGAAAGUCGAAGAGUUAGUAGGUGCUUUGCAAACUUAUGAGAUGACUUUUCCUACUAACCUAUUUUCUUCCAAGUCUUUCUCUAAAAGUACAAGGAUUGCAUUGAAAUCGAUAAAGGAGGAAGACGAGGACUCGGGUUCUGACGGAGAUAUCUCAAUUGCCGAUUUUGAACAUCAAUUGACGUUCCUAACGAAGAAGUUUCGUCGGAACUUCCGGAAGAAGAACAAAUCGAGCAAUGCUUCAUCUUCGAAGCAAAAAUCAUUUUCUAAACACUCUUCAAAUUCAAAAUCUAAGGAUAAGAAGCUUACAAAGUCUUCUAAAGAAAAAGAUGAAGUAGAAGGAGAAAUCCAAUGUUACAAAUGUAAAUGCUAUGACCAUAUUUCAACGGAUUGUCCUUCUAAAAAAGAGAUUUGUGGUUUUUGGCCGUUACACCUAUUCACCCCCCUCUAGGUGUUUGAUACAAUCUAGAUAGAUCCUAGGGCUCCUUAAAACUCACAGCAUACUACCCGCUUCAUUCAAUAAGAGUAUGAACUAGGCUACAUUAGUAGGGCAACAAGGCCUCGGGAAGAGAGAAAAAAGAGAGGGAGAGAGAGAGAAACAACAAACAGCAGACCCCCCCAAAAAAAAAAGAGAAAAGAAAUCCAAAAAUAAAAAUAAAACCUAUAUAUUAUGAAUUGUGAUAUAUUAACUGCCUUUAACUGCCUUCAGUUAUAGUGUCGCGCCCCGGGACCGAUCUCUUUGGCCGAUCCGGGCACGUCGAACAGACGCCGAGUGGACAGCACCUUCCUUGUCCGCCCAAGGCUCGACUCAUGUACAAUUCAAGUAAAGAAUGCACAAGCGGAAACAUACAUAAUGGCUUGCAUGAGGAUAAGCAAUAGCCAAAGUGAAAGAAUUAUAAUCUAUACAACCAUACAAGUACUAUGAUUCAUUUUGAUCACAUACAUGCAUAUACUUUUCACUCACAUUCAUAUCCCACAUUUACCUAUAUAUUCUUUUCCAUAUACAUGCUUUUCAUAAUUUCUUUUCUUUACAUCACAAUGUCUCCAAAGUAGGACCUUACAUUUGACCAUCUUUAGUACAUUUGCACCAUUCAUAUACCUAUAAUCAUCAAAUAACAAAAGAUGAUAUAAUAAUGGUAUGCAACUACAAAAUAUGAAAUCCGACUCGGGUGGUCACUAUUUAUGGCGCGAUAUCUUUACCGCAGUCGUCCGCCGGCUCACUCGGUCUCAGCUCUGUGGAAAUAGUGGGGUGAGAACUACAACAAAGUUCCCAGUGGGUUCAGCCCUCAACUUCGCCGACUUUCCCACUAGGUCUAACUCAGGCAUAAUAGAAUGAAUAAGCAGAUAGAUAGGUAACCAAUUAUACAAAUGCAGCUAAUAUGCCUGAACAAUAAUAUUCAAUAAUCAUGCUGAAUGAAGUGUUCAUGAUGAAUGCAGGUUCUCAUUUCUCAUUGUUUAAUCUCAUGGCUAACCCGUAGGUGUCACCCAAUGCAACUCACCAACUCAUAAUCCCAAGUAUCGGAGAGAAAUACCUACAACCUGAACGGGACCGUCGUCUGGGGAGAACUACUACGACCCAGUGAUGACUACUCCGAAGCUCAUCGCUCGAGGGGGAGCUACCACCCUCCGAGCCAUGACGUAAGGCGAGUAUGAUCCAAUCCUUAACUCUAAGGAUUCCAAGUUCAAUCCAUUCCUUAAAUAUAAGGAAGCAAUGCUCAUGUGACUCUUAACUAUAAGGUUGUUAUGUCACAAUGCCAACUCUCACAUGCACUUAGCAUUCUCUACUUUCUUUUAGUGUCAUUUAUGCUACAUGUUCUUGUACUCCAUCUCUAGCAUUUAAUACUCAUUAAUGCCAUACACUAACUCUAGUGUUUCAAUGCUCUAGCAUUCACGUUCUCAUUAAUGCCACACACUAACUGUAGUGUCAUCGUUGCAUUUACUAAUGCCACUCGAUCUAAAUGUCAUAGUGUCACAUUGUUCUUUGCCUCAACUAGGUUUUCAUAUCACAAUUCAUGCAUCAUAGGGUUCAUAGGUUCUCAACAAUCUCAUAAUGCAUUUGUACUCACAACAUGCAACAAUUUAUAUAACACCGAUCUCAAUUACCCUAUAAUGCAUGCAAUCCAAUAUAUGCUCAAGAGUGACACAUUAGGCAUAAAGGAAAGUUCAAAGAUUUUGAGAAGCACCAUCCACCUCGUAGGUUUGCUAAGGUGCUCGGGUUCAAGUUCCACGAUUUUUAGCCGCCUAUAUCCUUGCCUGCGGUAAAAUGAAGCCAAAUUAGGCUUUUUCGCUCCUAUCAUUGCAUAGACUUUUCGUUUCGACGAACCGAGUGUACCAACGCGUCGGAAAUACCCCAAAUUAGGUUUCUAUAAGGUCAAUUAGACCUUAGAACCAUUCAAUGCAAAAGCCCCAAAUUUGGGUGCCCUAGCCAUGUCACAUAUACUCAUACCCCAUUUUGAUCUCUACCAUAAGCAAGAAUAACCUUAUUAUCAUCUAGAGGUUCCAUUAAAACCAUUCCUAGGUCAAUCAAUUCCCAUUUUAGGGUUCUACCAUGAGAGGGCUUAAAUCUUACCUCUAAAAGCUCCCUUUCUUGCACCUAGGAAGAAGAAGAAGAAGAAGCUCCACCCUUUUGCCUUCUUCUCCACUAAACUCUCCUCCUUGCUCCACCUCUUGAGAGAGAGAGAGAGAUUCUAGAGAGAGAGGGAGAGAGAGAGCCUUGAGUGUGUGUGUGUGUGAGAGAAAUGAGAGAAAACUCACAUUUGCCUCUUUGCAUAUCCCACUUGAUGCACAAAUGCAUUUGGGCCCCUCAACUUUGUCCAUAUCACACUGCCCAGACUGGGCAAUUUCGAGCUGCGGGGACAGGUCUCUCUAGCAGGGUCCGGUCCUCGAGAGCACCUCUUCGUAGUCUACGCAGCCAAGGUCCGGUCUCCCACUGAAGGACCGGUCCCCGAGAGCACAUUUUGUGCAAACUGGCCUUUUUGCAUUUCCACACGUAUGGGGUCCGGUCCCUCCCACCAGGGACCGGUCCCCGAGAACACAAAACCUGCAAUUGUGCAGUUUUGCAUUAGCUUGCUCUCCGAGACCUCCUACAAUGCACUUUGUGCAUUUUUGACGCAUCCGGCCUUUCCGAAGCAUUUUUGACGCAUCCGGCCUCUCCGAGACCUCCUACAAUGCACUUUGACCAAUUUGGCUAAAGUUCGAUAGCUUCUACCGAAGUUUUGGUAUAUUACAUAUAGUGAUCUUUCUAAAGCUGCCUUAAUUUACGAAUUUCGCUUAGUGUGCAGUCUAUAUUGUUUUCCAAAUUCUGAAAUAUUCUGUUAUUUCUCUCCAGCCAUACAAGCCACUAGACCACUCUAAGCGUUAGAAAGCUUUUUCUCCUAUUUGGAUUUCGACAUGCUUCCCAAAGAUUUGUAGUUGUCGUGUUGCUUAAAAUAGCAUUAGUAUUAGGUAGGAGACACAGGAGCAAGUAUUGUUAGAUGUAUGCCCUAGAAGCCAACCAGGCCGACACAUGUAUUUUUUCUAGAACAUAAAUUUGUAUUUGACUUUAAAAUAUUAUGAAUAAAUUUGGGUUCUUAUUUUCAUUCAUGUUGUGUAUGUGUCGAUGAAUCGCCCAAGAAAUUAAUAAGAUGAUGACAUAUAUUCUCAAGCGUUGAGAAUUUGAGACAUGUGUCAUUGGUGGUUAAUUCCUUAAUGCUCCCGAUCAAUAGAUCAUCACGGGGACGGUGAUUGAUCCGGUAAGAUCGGUGCAUAGGUCGCUUACCUUUUUGGGUAGACGGGUCUCGAGUCAACAGUGUGGGGACACUGAAGCGAAUAUGUAGGUUGUUGUUAGAGAACAAGGGUACCGAGCGUGACCAACGCAAGAAGUCACUUGAAUGUCUACUUACUCGUCAGUGACUUACUCAAUGUUGAAAUAGUGUGACUGGUCCUUUGACCUGUGAUGCCUCGGCUAUUCACAAUGAGGUUACUGUAGUUUGACUGUAUAUACACUUGGUCCCUGACCAUUCGGAUCCUUGCGGUGCAUGUUGGCUGCACUAGGUUCACUGUAGGAAUAGAGUGCGCACUUAGAUAGAAUCUAUCUCCUUUGGUAGAUAGGGGUGUUAGUCCUAUGUGAUUUAUGAGACCGAGCUUAGAAGACCUUGGUUAGGGCAGAGUUAAUAGCGGAAAAGGGUUUCCGAUAUUAAAACUCGAGUCGAAUAAAUUUAACACAUGACAGACGAUGGGGUUUGACGAGUUAUUCUAUAACCUCCGUCUAGUCGAGACUCAUGAUAGAAGGAUUGUAUCACACGGUAACUGCACCAAGAGAUUCAGUAUUCCAUUCUACUAGAAUGCCACUACAUGCUGCUAGGCACCACUAGUGGAUUGUGAGACUCAUGAGAAUUAUCUAGAUGAUCGAUAAUUCUCAUUGGGCUGAGUUGGAAUUAUUCCGAUCCACUGAAAGGAGUUUCAGUGAUAUUGUUGAUAGUGAUCAAAACAUAUCUCACUACCAGAUAGAAUAGAACCUAUGGGGUCACAUACAUAAGAGGUUGUGAUUGAUCAGAUAGCUAGAUCGCGAUUAUUGAAUCACCGGAGGACCUAAUUAUCAAUAUGUUGAUAAUUGGACUAAUUUAUAAUUGUUACAAAUUAGUGGUAUUAAAGUGUAAAUAUUACUAGAGAGGAUUUACUAAUAGUUAGUAAAUUAUAAGAGGACUUAUGUGCAAAUAUUGCAUUAUUAAUUUGAUAUGAUUAAAUUAAGAUAAAGUUCAAGUCGAAUCAAAUUAGGAUUUGAUCGGUCUAACAAAUUAAGGAAAUGAUAAAUUUAAAUCUAGAUUUGUACUUAUUCUUAAUGGUUAUUAUAUUAUUAAAAGAGGACUAUAUCCCUAUAUAUAAUAUAUGAGAGUUUUUAAAAAAUCCUAGCCGUCAUCUUUCUUCUUCUCUCUCUUCUAUCUUUUAGCAAAAAAAGUCCUUUGCAAGGGAGCUAGCACCCAGGUGAGGACAUCGAUCAAAUCAACAACCUCGUUUGGAUACCCAUAAUGGCUGGACGCGUGUGCGGCUGUAACGACCCAGCCCACUAGCAAUAAUAACUCGUUGGGCCAAACUACCGGCCCGAAAUACUUAAGCCCAGUUAUUAUUACUAGUGUCUAAGUCUCUUAUAUACCCAAUCACAUCCCCAUUUCUAUCCGAUGUGGGAUUAUUGGGGUGUGACAGACUCCCCCCGUUAAGGCCCUGACGUCCUCGUCAGUCUAAUCACAUACACAGCCCAAGAUCAUCAGGCAAUGUAAGACUCGUCUCGCUAGCCUUGUCAUCCAGACCCUAACAUAGCCCGUCACCUCGUCAUUCAGACUCCGGCAUAGCGUGUCACCUUGUCUUUCAGACCCUGGCUCAGCCGAGACUCGCCACACAUUUUCGGCUGGUGAACUGGCUCUGAUACCAAAUGUAAUGACCUAGACCACUAGCAAUAAUAACUCAUUGGGCUAAACCACUGGCCCAAAAUACUUAAGUCUAGUUAUUAUUACUAGUGUCUAAGUCUCUUAUAUAUCCAAUCACAUCCCCAUUUCUAUCCGAUGUGGAAUUAUUGGGGUGUGAUAGCGGCUUCAAGAGAACCCAAUUCUACGAUCAUCAAAUUGAGGUGAAGAUCUAUCCGCGCAAAAGGUAAAAAUUCGAUCUUAUUUUUCUCUUUUAAUCAUAAAGAACAUGAGGAAUCUUGAUUGUGUGGUUUUUGAGAUUGGAUCUCGAGAGUUUUCAAAAUCAAAUUUGUUUGAUUUUUUUUCGCGUUUUUAUCGUACGCAAUUUUCUAACAGUGGUAUCAGAGCCAUCCUCAAUCCUCUUGUUUUUCAAUAUUAAAAUUAUGAAUUUGGGUAUUUUAAAUCGUUCUUCGCCGGUCGAACGAUUUAUAGAUCGUUUUUUAUUGAUUCGAAAAAUCGUCAGCUGAUUAAACAAUUUAAUCUAUUGUUGCAAGCAAAAAAAAAAAAAAAAACUGUAGCGUCCGUACGGACGCUACUGUACUAUCCGUACGGAAUUUUUUAAAAUUUUUUUAAAAAUAAUUUGAUUAGAUCGUUUUAAAAUAAUAAAAAGAAAAGAGGUGGAUCAAAUUUAAUUAUAUAUAUCAAAUUAAUAUCUUGAUGAGAUCAAGUUGUUUUGUUUGAAAAUUAAGUUGUUGAUCAAAAUUAUAAACGAUCAAUAAGAUUGAUUGUUUUUAAUAAUUUAGUCAUUGAUUUUUCGAAUCAUCGUUGAACGGUUAAUUAGAAUACCCAAAAUUAAUUAUUAUGUAUGUGAUGUAUGAGAUACAUAUCGAUGAUGAUCAUGGAUAGCGACCUAUUUAUUUUUGUUUUGAUAUGUGAUGUAUGAUGUGUAUGCAGAAUCCUGUAAUUUUAAAUUUGUUUAAAUAAGAACUUUGUAUUAGAGAUGGCUUUUUUGUGCCUGUGUGCACAAGCCGAUUUAUUUGGAGACCUGUGUGUCACAAUAGGUUAGAAAUAAAAAUGAUCAAAUGUAAUUAAUUUUUAUUUCAUUUUUAUUGUUAGGUUGUAUAAUGUAUGGUUGCACGUCAUUGGUUGAUCGGUUGCUAGCCGAGAGGUACGCAAAGACUUAAUCGAGAUGAAUAGUUGAUGGUGGUCGGAUCAAGAUGUUGAUAGGAUCGGAUCAAAUUAUAGCUCCGGAUCGAAUCAAGUAGUUGAAGACGAUCAAACUAAUGACGUGUGUGUGCUUGUAAUUUAUGACCCUAAGACCCCGAUUCCGACUUAGUGGCUCGAGUCCGAAUCCACUUCUAAGAUCCAUGAUCAUCACCAGCUAAAUUAUAUUUUUCAUGUGCAUAUUGUUUUUAUUUGCAUUAGAUGUAAAUAAAUAAAAUAAAAUUUGAGACUUAAAUUUUAAUCUCCUCACAAAUACUAAGUCGAGCGGUCUUUCGCCGUUGUAGAAGUGCGGGCGUUUUUCUGGUGUUGAUUGGCACGGCUGGUUACAGUGGUCAGUUGCAUCGGGAAGGCGCAACCACUCUAUUAGCAUGAGAUGCUGCGGAGUAAAGAUAGGGUUGGGCCCAAUAACUGUCAAGUGAGGGACCCAAUGACGGUUUUACUUACGCAUUUGAACGGUGGGUCUGACUUAACUAAGGAAUGGGCCAAUAACUGUUAGGUGAGGCCUACAGGAUUUUGUAAGGACUGAGAUUUUGGCAGUGCAGCUAAACUCUCUGUUGAUGAUGUUUCUGUGUGUAAUUUAAUUACAUAAGCACUCAUCAAGUUUUAGGAGAAAACGAGUUAGAAGGGAGAUUCUACGCGACUUUUACUUUUCACUUAAGUGAAUAGUAACUCCGAUUUUCCGGAGAAGCCACGAAGUAGAGUUGGCUUUCGGCGCGUAUCAGACUUCGUUCAUAGCGGUCCAAUAGCUCGUUUUGAACGGUUCAGCUAUUCUGGAACCAAUAGCCCUGACAGAUUUCAGAUCUGAUGCAUGGUUUUCGAGAAAAAGGGGUUUGAUUGGAUUUAUAUAUAUAUAUAUAUAUGUGUAUAUAUAUGUGUUUUAUAGUGGAAAUAUUGAGGGUGGGUUUCGUCGCAAAUCGACGACCAAAUUAGAUCAAAUGAAAAGCUAGUUCGAUGCCCUUGUCGUGUUGAACGCGCUGGUGUGAUCCGUUCGGAAAUUCGACAGAUGGAUCGUCGAGAAUCGAUAUUUGCUGAGGGGUCGAAUUGGCAAAAACGGAAUUUCGCGAAAGGUCCAAUAUUUAAUGUACCGUUUGGUGCGAUUUCCAACGUCGAGGUGCGGGCGUGCAAAGUGCUCAUGCUGUCAAGGCUGGACCAUAAAUACUUAUCUUUGGGAGGGGUUUUUUGCAAAUUGUCCAUAGUAUAUAUAUGGGCAGCUAGGGUUUUCUUGCACAAACCCUAGCCCUAGCUGACCCAUCACCUCCCUGCUAACCCAAGCUGACCUCAGCCCUUCCCUGCCCUCGUCGUGCUCGCGCCCCGGCCGCCGGCAAGCUGCUCCGGCCGCUGGAAGAACCUCCCUCUCAACUCCUCUCUCCAUUUGUUCCUACCACUGUGGCUGUCGGCCUCUGGAUGUCACCAUAACCCGUGGAGUCUUCAUCCUCUGGCGCGGCCCAUCUCCGGCGCCGUCCCCGCCUGCCUCUGCUGUCUCGGGGCGCCGCAGGAGCCCCUGUGCAAGCUAUGCCCAAACCGAGCCAACUCAGGCCAAGUUGACCUAGGCUCGGGACUCGCGAGUAGUGGAAGCCCAAGCUCGGCUGUCCCGUCGUCGUCUGGCUGCCGGCGUCCUCUCGCGCGCCCCCCCGCAGUCCCCGNCUGUGUAAGCUGCGGCCAAACCGAGCCAACUCAGGCCGAGUUGACCUAGGCUCGGGACUCGCGAGCAGUGGAAGCCCAAGCUCGGCUGUCCCGUCGUCGUCUGGCUUCGGGCGUCCUCCCGUGAGCACCCCCGCCGUCCCCGCGCGCCGCCGGCCGCCGUUCGAGCUCCCUGCGGCCGCCCAGACUUGGUGCGGGCCGAGGAUGGGCUUCCCUCCUAUCCGCACGUCGCCGCCGCCCACAACGGGGAGCACCACCCUUCCCACGGCCUUCGGCGACGGAUCGUCGUCGCCCCGAGCUCCUCCGGCCGCCGCCGGGCCGCCGCGGACCACUUGAACCCGAGAGCAAGCCGCGGCUUGAUCUCCUCCGCCGCGCCACCGGCCGCCGCCCGCUGCUGGCCAGCACCUGCCCCGGACCUCUCCGACCAGACGCACCCUUCCCCGGCCGGAUCGCCUGUCGCCCGGCCACCGGCGACCAACCCUAGCUCCACUACCUAGGUAAGGCUGUAAUUUUGUUGACAACACUGUAGUUUGGAGUUUCGGUCACCUUUCCGGUGAUCCGAGGACACUUCGACACCCCAGGAAGUGAGCACGAUAAUCUUGGAUUCGUGUUGAACAUCGUGCUCACCUCCGCAGGGUCAACGAUGCCCUGGUUAGCGAAUUAAACGUGAUCUUAGCGCUGUGCGCGCUAUUUUGCUAAUUUCUGCAUCGCUUAUGCGCGUGCCACAGUGGCCGGCAGUGCUCUAAAAGGUAAACACGGCCUUCGGCACGUCGAGACCUAUCAGCUGGUGUUUCGGUUUGGCUGAUUGACCUCUGGUUUGCGUAGACGGAGCAUAAAAGCCCAGAAAUCACAUAAAAUAAUAUGAUUUUAUGCAUUUGGGAGGGCUUUUAUGCAAUUAUGGUUAUUGUAGUCGCUGUUGGCAGCAUGUGUGGGCAGAGGGUAACCUCUGGACUGAUUGUCCAAGGCCCUAGGCCCUUUACGGAAUCGGAGAGUGAUUUUCGGUGCGUUUUUCGGCAAAAUUCGCUUAUAGAACGCGUUUUCGGUUUGGAAUUCUUCCGACGGUGUUUCGUGGUCGAUUGGUGAGUCGCUGAGCCUGGUUGGCUGGUCACCCGUGUCGUUUUGGGUGUUUGGAAACGACUGGUGAGCGACGGUGGGUUCCGGUGUUGAAAUUGACACUUCUGGGAACCCGGAUCGGAACGAUUAUCCGACGGUAAUCGUUUCGGAGUGAGAUAAUGUUUUGGCUGCCAAGUCACACGUAAAUUCGUGUUUUGUGGCAGCAGUAGACUCAUAUCUUGAGUUGGUGAGUUUCGGGACAGUUCGUGGGUCCCGGCGGAAUCUCGAUACGGUUUUCGGGACUUCCGGUGAGUUCGGCAAUCGGUUUUGGGAAACCGAUUCCCGUAGAUAUAAUUGUGGGGUUAUGUGUUAGUGUUUUAUAUUUGUGGGUUAGAUACUAACCCGGUGGACCCUCCGUAGGUCCAGUUUACGAUCUUUCGCAGUCAGAAGACAGACGCGACAUUCGUACAGGUGAAUACUUCGAUCCGACGUCGGUAUAGUGGUGCACAUUCGGUGAUGGUUUCUUACCUUUGCCCUCUUAUUAUUAUUCGUGCUUAUACUAUAUGUUGAGCCUAGCACCCACGUUGUUUGGUUUUACUCUACUCAGAUGUUUUCAUGCUUAGUAUCAUGUGUAGGAGUAGAGUAGUUUAUCUGUAUGUGAUACCAUGUUUCCUUGUUGCUUUACUUGCCUGUUCUACAUAUCCUGUAUCAUGUCUAGAGUAGAGCGGUUUCGUGACUAUCUCUGAGAUGGUGACCUAGUCGGUCAGUGCAUUGUAUCUGUUUUCAUGACCUGAUUGGUCGGUCGUUGUAUCUCGUGUCGGUUCCUUGACUUCUGUCGUUCGAUAACCGUUGAGGUCGAUAUACCCUGAGGGGUUGGAUUGUCGGCUAAUGGUCGACGGCAGUUCUGGAUUCUAUUUAUACACUCUGGUGACCUAUUCAUCGAUUCGUCAUGCAUAUAUGUUAGUUGACUUGAGUAGUCAGCACUUGUAUACCUUCGGUAGGAUGUUGAGUUGUUCCAUCCUAGUUGACCUGGUUGGUCGGUUCUCCUAUGUGGUAUCUGUGACCUGGUUGGUUGAUGUUCAUAUAUUAUACCAGUGACCUGGUUGGUCGAUUAGAUUACUUGAUGACCUAUACGGUCGAUGUGCCCCGAGGGGCUGUGAUUGUUGGCUGGUUGCCGACGGUUGGCCUUUGAGCAUAUCAGCAUUGAUCGUCCGAGACUCGUUCUCAUUUCACGAACACCAGCGAUCUGAUCCACCGCAAGAGGGUGUUCUUUUCCGGAAAAGUGGUUGCAGGUGCCAACUCGUGAGCCCUAGAGGGGUUAUAUGCAUGGUAGAGUGGCAGUGGUACUGUCAGGAGGUCUCCGGUGUGAACCUCCAGGGCACAGGCUUGAGGUUUGCGGUGUGGACCAACAGAGCAGCAGAUUUCAGAUUGGGUAUAUUUGGUUUAUACAUCCGGUUGACGCAUAUGUCUAUAGUAGCAGUUAUUGCAUGCAUACUUACAAUUCUUUCCAUAUACUUGUCUUGUUACUAUAGUUUUGAUACCCAUGUAUGCAUUCAGUUCUUCUUUACGAUAGCGGUAGUUGUUCUUUUACAUCCCGUUUAUGUAUUAUCGUUGCUACUGUAUUUUGUAUAUCUGCUCAUGAUCUUAUUUAUCUCUUUCUGAUCCGGUGAGUACUCCUCGCCUUCAUCGACUUGCGGUACCCACUGGGAGGGGAGACAUAUUUACAUGUUCUCACCUCCCCCACCAUUUUUCAGGUAUUGCGGGCAGUGAGGGUUGAGACAAGAUAUGAGACAUGUUCGUAGCGGUCGAUAGAGCUUUCGACUCGGUUGGUUUGGUUUAGUUACUACCCCUUUACUUCUGUUGAUAUAUGACUUAGACAGUUAUUUGGUUUAGUUGUUAUUACUUAUGAAUUCACAUGGUUUUAUGAAAGUAGUAAAAGGAAUUGUGGAUUUUGUGAAUCAGAAAAUUAUUUUCUACCCCUCGUGGUAGUGUUUUAAAAGAAAAAGGGUUUCCGUGUAGAAAACAGAUUUGAAAAAGGUAUUCUUGUGAUUUUCAUAAACUAGUAUUUGAAAAUGUGUUUCCGGGUAGAAAACAUUUAAACUAAUAGUUAUGGAUUUCUGAAUAAACCCGGAAUGUGAUUCUGUGGUGAAUGGUGUAUGAAUAUGAAUGUCUUUAUGUUCAGAUGUGGUUGUAUCCUGUUUGUAUCUUGUACUUCUGCGACGCCAUGCAAAUACAGGGGAGACUCUAUCCAUGUGAACAGUGGACUCCCUAUAUUUGCGGCGGAUCUGGCAUACCUUCGGGGUCAGGUUUUCAGAAAAAAAAUUUUCGUUGCGUUUUUAGACUACAAAAAGUCCCCGAGGCGUGACAGAUUUGGAGACCGAUCACUGCAAUUUGCUUGAGAAGCAUUGGACAAGAGUUGUCCAUUCAUUGGUUAGCAUAUCACCAAUAACUAUUAGGUGAGGUGGUAUGUUAAACUGGUGGGACCGCAGUACCCACUUGAAAUCUUUUGUCGCAUUGGGUUUCCGUUUCUCUACCCGAGGAGUGUAAGAGACUCGAGAAAAUAGCGGGAGGCUAAAAUUUGUUUUUAAAAUCCCUAAAACAAAAUUUUCAAAACAAAUACAAAUAUCUAACUUGAAUUUUUUACUUUCUGCAAAACAAAUGUCUGCUUCAAAUUAUCUCUCUCGUAUUUUUGAAACAAACCGCUUAACCAUAACUAAUUAUAAAGACUGGCUAUGAAACUUAAAAAUAGUUUUAAAUUCUAAGAAGCUCUGCAAUGUUCUCGACCAGGAAAACUUCACGUUACUAAACCAUUCAAUAACUAAUCAAAGGGCAGUCUGUACAUGAUCAAACAAUGAUCAAAGACCUCAAGGAGCUUGAGAAGCUUGGCGUGAAAAUGGACAAGGAAUUGCAAGUUGAUCUGAUCCUAUAAUCCCUUCCUAUAUCAUAUGGAUAUUUUAUUGUAAACUACCAUAUAAAUAAAAUUGACUGCACCAACGCGGAGUUAUUGAACAUGUUGGUAACUAUAGAGAGAAGUUUGAAAAAUUCAAAGGACUCGGUUCUCGCUGUGGAGCGGGCUUCCUCUCCAAAAGAACGUCUAAUUGGAUGAAGAAAUCCGCAAAGAAACAAAAGACGAAGAAUAAGCCCAAGAGGGAAGCUCUUAAGAAGAAGGUCGCUAACAAAGAAAAAUGUUUCUACUGCAAUGUUGAUGGUCAUUG
rnacentral:lncRNA from 1 species